AUUGAACGCUGGCGGCAUGCUUUACACAUGCAAGUCGAACGGCAGCGCGGGCUUCGGCCUGGCGGCGAGUGGCGAACGGGUGAGUAAUACAUCGGAACGUGCCCAGUAGUGGGGGAUAGCUCGGCGAAAGCCGGAUUAAUACCGCAUACGACCUGAGGGUGAAAGCGGGGGAUCUUCGGACCUCGCGCUAUGGGAGCGGCCGAUGGCAGAUUAGCUAGUUGGUGGGGUAAAGGCCUACCAAGGCGACGAUCGGUAGCUGGUCUGAGAGGACGACCAGCCACACUGGGACUGAGACACGGACCAGACUCCUACGGGAGGCAGCAGUGGGGAAUUUUGGACAAUGGGCGAAAGCCUGAUCCAGCAAUGCCGAGUGUGUGAUGACGGCCUUCGGGUUGUAAAGCACCUUUGGCGGGAACGAAAAGGACUGUGCCAAUACCACGGUUCGAUGACGGUACCCGCAGAAUAAGCACCGGCUAACUACGUG
rnacentral:rRNA from 1 species